UACGUAGGGGGCAAGCGUUGUCCGGAUUUAUUGGGCGUAAAGAGCGUGUAGGCGGCCAGGUAGGUCAGCUGUGAAAACUCGAGGCUCAACCUCGAGACGCCGGUUGAAACCAUCUGGCUAGAGUCCGGAAGAGGAGAGUGGAAUUCCGAGUGUAGAGGUGAAAUUCGUAGAUAUUCGGAAGAACACCAGUGGCGAAGGCGACUCGCUGGACAAGUAUUGACGCUGAGGUGCGAAAGCGUGGGGAGCAAACAGG
rnacentral:rRNA from 1 species